AUUGAACGCUGGCGGCAGGCCUAACACAUGCAAGUCGAGCGGAGCGGCGGACGGGUGAGUAAUGCCUAGGAAACUGCCUGGUAGUGAGGGAUAAAGUCAGGAAACGGGAGCUAAUACCGCAUACUAGCAGAUGAGCCUAGGGCGGAUUAGCUAGGUGGUGGGGUAAAGGCCUACCAAGGCGACGAUCCGUAACUGGUCUGAGCGGAUGAUCAGUCACCCUGGAACUGAGCCACGGUCCAGACUCCUACGUGAGGCAGCAGUGGGGAAUAUUGGACAAUGGGCGCAAGCCUGAUCCAGCCAUGCCGCGUGUGUGAAGAAGGUCUGCGGAUUGUAAAGCACUUUAAGUUGGGAGGCGUUACCAACAGAAUAAGCACCGGCUAACUUCGUGCCAGCAGCCGCGGUAAUUC
rnacentral:rRNA from 1 species